CGGUGCCCUAGGUGACAUUGUGAAGUAGGCAAAAGGCAUUUUAUUCAUCCAAUAAGACCUCUGUUGAGCCCACCUUGUGCGUCCGGUACAGCUGGUAUAAAGACCACUAAGACCACGGUCUACAGCAGGCCAGGAGCGACAAAGCCCUACAAAUAAACAGGCACCGGAAGUUGCCAUCAGUGCUGUAACAGAGCCCUGCUUACCUAUGAUUGCAUCCACCUGGGGACCAAGGCACCGCCUUCUCCAUCUUUCUUCUGAGCUUAACCGAGCUAUGAAUGAAGAGCAGAAACUGACACUGUUGAAAAUGGAGUCAGGAAUUUGAUGGAAAAAUUGAUGAGGCCUUCCAAAAAAUAGAGGCGAAAGACAGAAAUGAAAAGGAAGGUAAGGGUGAGAGACACAAGAGUCUACAGUCCAACCUAAGAAUGAUAUUCUUACUGAAAAUUAAGAUCAAAUAAAAUCAAACAGAAGCACUGAUCAAAACACUAUCAGGAAAGCUUUCCUGAGCUGAGUGCUUUUCCUGAUAUGAUAUGAUGGGAGGUGCCCAACAUCACUUACAUUGUAGUCUCGGCAAUAUUUUUUGCCUAAAUAAAAUCAUGGGGAUCAUAUCUGGCUGGGGCCAGCUCCAUGGGCACAUGACCUGUG
ensembl:lncRNA